GAAGUCACUCGCCAGCAGACUCAGGGCUCCUUCUGCUUUGUGCAGCCAAGGCUGUUCCUUAGCAACCAGUGUCCACAAAUGGGUUUCCAAGGAAACCAGAAAGCCCAAUUUAUAAAACUAGGAAACAAAGCAACUGUAAAGGCAACAUUAUACACAGAAGGUAACUCUAUUCUUACCAUUGCUACUGAAUUCCUGCCAGCAAAGUGGUACCAAUAUUUUAUUUUUAAGUGUUUAAGGCAAAAAGCUAAUUCUUAAAAUAUACUUUAAUACCCCCUGACCUUGGCAUCUUUCUGAAGAAGAAUGGCAAAUACAUUUUUCGAACUCAAAGGAAAGAAAGCACUGAAGAUUUGUGUUAAAAAGAUAAAUAAUUCUUAAAGGUGAAGGGUAUUUUUAAAAUCAUCAGCAAGAUAUAGAUUCCUUCCAGAUCAUCAGCAAAGUCUACUGAUUUCAGCUUCUGAGGAACACUUUACUAAAAAUGAAGAUUUCCUGAUUCUAACAGCAGCUCCACCUCCAAUGGUUAGAAGCUCUGACUGCACCUGCUGCCCAGUCCUUUUGGUGGGAUGGAAAACAUUGACCCACGAGCCCUGGCUCUGCCCGCUGAAGCAACACAAACAAAUUCACCUCCACCUUUGAUAUGAUGCUUUCUCAAAAGUUUGAAUAUGGUCAGCCUAUCCAAGAAAGAAAUGGACAAAGACUUUCAUUAGAGUUCUUUCUCUCACAUCCUUUGAAGAAGUCUUAAACCACUUUACCUUUUUAACCUCAUCUUCUUUGUUUCUAAAAACCUCUAUAGGAGGAGGGAGAUGAGGUACAGAGAAGUAGUAGGACCUACAGGAAGAAGAGUAGAGAAAGUGGUGCCUCUUCCUGGAUGCUGAGUCUUAGCACCUUGCCAAGACAAAGUGCUUCUCACCUGGCCAGUGAGAUAACCACUUUUAUUCUAAUCCAUUUUACAAAUGUUUACACCAAGACUUUUCCAAGGUGACACCAUUAUUAAUACUUAACUACUCUUUUUCAUCUCCUUUCUGUAUCCCAUUCUCUAUGUUCCAAAAAUUGUAACAGAUUUUUUUAUACACGAUUAUUUUCUAACCUAGACAAUUCCAGUUCCAUUAACUAUUCCUUAUAUCAUUGGGAUUAAAAAAAAUUCUCAGAAAUUGAUUUA